CUCGAAAUUCAAAAUCUGAGCAAACAAGUACGAAUUGCAAAUUAGGGUUCCAAACUAGGAGGCGAUGACGAUCUCUCCUCCCUUCACUCAAAAAUCUCAAUUCUUCAAUUCUCUCUCAUCUUCGAUCUCAUCAUCAGGUGAGAAGAAGAAAAAGAUGACGUCUGGGUUUUCCGGAGAUGUGUUAUACGACGGAGGUGGUGCAGGGACCGGCGGAGGGAGGGCGGAGAUGGCGACUUUCCGACAACAACAGCAACAAUAACAACAUCAAAAAUCGUGAUUUAACUGUGUAGAAUAUUAACACAAAGGGAGGUGAAGAAGGAAAUGGCAGGGAGGAGUAGAGUGUAUGAUCCGAGCAAGCUGCAUUUGAAGAGGGAGCUGGCCCAAAUUUGAAAGGCGGCACGGGUAUUGCGUGAUCCUGGUACCACUCACUUCCUCUUGGAAAUCACCUUUAGAUUUAAUUAUACCAGUGCAUAACCUGUAUAUUUGAUUCUUCGGCGCCGGCGAUCAAAUUCCUUGGUUGUUCCUGUUGUUCGCAGGUUGUUUCAAGUGUUGAUUUUCUUCUGUUUUUUCCCAGCAACAGCUGAUGUGUUCUGCUGCAUGUUUUGUUUGUUAGGGUGCGGUGUGCACCCUUCUUUGUUGAUUGAUGUUUCUUUCCUUGAGCUGGAGGGAUGAAUGAAAGCAUUGGGAUGAGACUUA